CAAAUCCAACGUCUCACCCGAGACACCGUCGAAAUAUCACACAGUGGGCCGGGCAUGCAUGCGCCAUCGUGCAUGUGCAUGUGCGGUCUGCGAAACUCACUAGAAACUGUUGAUCAUUUGUAUGCUUCUUAACAAGAAA
rnacentral:misc_RNA from 1 species